CUUGAUUUGGGCUUGAGGAAUAAUGAUGAAUUUCGUACUGUUAUUGGUAAUUCUGUGUAACAUUCUCUAGUUCUGCGCACAAUGGUCUCCACUGGGAUGCACUUGAUGAUGUGAAUGGCUUCUUCAGCGGUGACUGCUAUCCGGGUCCUUUCAUUAGUCGUCUGCAUCGGUGUUGGAUGACGUUAUGGUAGAGGGAGAUCAUCUGAGUCCUGACAUGUUUCUCCACGUAGACGAAUUUAGAGUUGACAGAAUGUAGCCGCAAAGAAAUAGCUGUAUCGUAGUCGUCAAAGCGAAGGUGAUAUCUUGCGUCUCCA